AUUGAACGCUGGCGGCAUGCCUUACACAUGCAAGUCGAACGGUAACAGGUCUUCGGAUGCUGACGAGUGGCGAACGGGUGAGUAAUACAUCGGAACGUGCCCGAUCGUGGGGGAUAACGGAGCGAAAGCUUUGCUAAUACCGCAUACGAUCUACGGAUGAAAGCAGGGGACCGCAAGGCCUUGCGCGGACGGAGCGGCCGAUGGCAGAUUAGGUAGUUGGUGGGAUAAAAGCUUACCAAGCCGACGAUCUGUAGCUGGUCUGAGAGGACGACCAGCCACACUGGGACUGAGACACGGCCCAGACUCCUACGGGAGGCAGCAGUGGGGAAUUUUGGACAAUGGGCGAAAGCCUGAUCCAGCCAUGCCGCGUGCAGGGAUGAAGGCCUUCGGGUUGUAAACUGCUUUUGUACGGAACGAAAAGGGUCUUUUACUAAUAAAGAAGGCUUGAUGACGGUACCGUAAGGAAUAAGCACCGGCUAACUACGUGCCAGCAGCCGCGGU
rnacentral:rRNA from 1 species